UUAUUCUUUUUUGUAUCACCUGUAGCAUUUAACUCGGUACCUGGUAUAGCGAAGGUACUGAGCAAAUGUUGAUUAAAGGACACUUGAGUUUAUUUUGCCUUUCUUUGUCAGAGCUGUUAUGCCACAGACAGAAAUUUCCACUCUGUAUUAACUUCUCUUGUGAAAUGGCAUCUGGAACACGGAGUUUUCCUGUUGUCCAGGCUGGAGUGCAAUGGCUCAAUCUUGGUUCACUGCAACAUUCGCCACCCUGGUUCAAGUGAUUCUCCUGCCUCAGCCUCCCAGGUAGCUGGGAUUACAGAUUACAACAAUCCAUUUAACUACUAUGAAACGGUUCUGGAGUGACACUGUUGUGAAGAGGAAAUUCCAGCGGAGCUACCGGAGCAAGCCUUUGUUCUGCCAUAUUGAACUCCUCCAGCUGUGCGGAUUCACUGCACUAUAAGAAAAACAUUUCUACGACCACUUUAAAGCUAAACUCAUUUCAGGUUUGUGCUGAAGAGAGCUUGAGAAAAGGCUAAAAGGCUAGCCCAGGCUUCCAUUUUGAGACAGCAAGAGUACCCAGCAAUAUGACGGACGUAACAAGUGGCAAGCAGGAUUGUGUGGGUUUUUUCUUUGAAGAUCUUCUGUAGUAAAACAGAAAGGAACUUGUCUAUUUAUGACAUUUUUCAAUUUUUCCAGGCAGACAAUAAAACAUAACAUUACCAACAUCA